UAAGGAAUAUUGGUCAAUGGACGCAAGUCUGAACCAGCCAUGCCGCGUGGAGGAUGAAGGUCCUCUGGAUUGUAAACUUCUUUUAUCGGAGAAGAAACCCUAGCAUUCUUGCUGGGUUGACGGUACCCGAUGAAUAAGCACCGGCUAACUCCGUGCCAGCAGCCGCGGUAAUACGGAGGGUGCAAGCGUUAUCCGGAUUCACUGGGUUUAAAGGGUGCGUAGGCGGGUUGGUAAGUCAGUGGUGAAAUCUUCAAGCUUAACUUGGAAACUGCCGUUGAUACUAUCAAUCUUGAAUGUUGUGGAGGUAAGCGGAAUAUGUCAUGUAGCGGUGAAAUGCUUAGAUAUGACAUAGAACACCGAUAGCGAAGGCAGCUUGCUACACAAUAAUUGACGCUGAGGCACGAAAGCGUGGGGAUCAAAC
rnacentral:rRNA from 1 species